rnacentral:rRNA from 1 species
UACGUAGGGUGCGAGCGUUGUCCGGAAUUACUGGGCGUAAAGAGCUCGUAGGUGGUUUGUCGCGUUGUCCGUGAAAACUCACAACUCAAUUGUGGGCGUGCGGGCGAUACGGGCAGACUUGAGUACUGCAGGGGAGACUGGAAUUCCUGGUGUAGCGGUGGAAUGCGCAGAUAUCAGGAGGAACACCGGUGGCGAAGGCGGGUCUCUGGGCAGUAACUGACGCUGAGGAACGAAAAGCGUGGGGAGCGAACAGG